UCUUGUUUCACAUCCAAGUCUUUUAACAAGAGGAAAAAAAUAAAAAAACAUUACUUACUAGUUCUACACACACAGUUUAAAUAGUGAGCUGCUGUGCCACACCCAGCCUUCCAGCAAACAGAAGAUGUUAAUAAGGAUCUACACUGGGUUUGGAGACCCAGCACAGGAGCCCAGCUUUUGGUGGUUCCAAGGUCAAAUGGGCCUAAAUGAAUCAGAAAAGUGUGGAAGACGUGCAAUAGUACCUCAGAUGUGGCAAGUAUCUUCAUGUACCAGUAGAUGAUGAUCCUACCAUUAGCUACCAGCAUACACAGAUACCUCAAAUAGCAUCUCCUUCCCCUGCUGCUCUGUGAUGAGAUGAACCCAGACCAUUGUUCCAUCACAGGUCCUGGCAGCACAGGGCAAAGGCAGGGGGUUUCUUUUCCUUAGCAGCAUGAAAGCUUGCUCAGUAGCACUAGUCACUUGGAAACUGCCCACUUAACCUCUGGUCCACAACUCAAAAAAAGGCUCUAUUAAUUCAUCUGUGCACCUGUAACCAUUUUACUAAUUUUGUGGUUGACCUCUGUGGUCUGGCUUAAGUGAAAAUGGAGAACCCUAUUUACCACUUCCAUAAAGCAGACCUACAGCAGUCUGUCACUUGACAUAGGAAGGCAUGAGCUAAAAUGGUUUAAGUAUCUGAUGAUGUGUUCACCUGAGUUGAAUCUGUACCCUGAAAUGACAUUCUUGGUUCUAAACCAGGGUUUUGAAGCAAGGAAAUAGAUUGCAGGGGUAUGGGCUCUUAAACACCUCUCAGAGACUAAACCUUGCCUAACUGUAAUCUGAAGAUGGAAGGAGGGAAAUAAGGAAUAGGAGACCUCAUGACUACAUAUAAAAUACAAGUGCUACAAAGCUUCUAUUCAUUCACUGCACAAUACAAAAAAUAAAAGGUGAGCCAAUAAAGGUGA